UACGGAGGAUCCAAGCGUUAUCCGGAUUCAUUGGGUUUAAAGGGUGCGUAGGCGGAAUGAUAAGUCAGUGGUGAAAUCCUGCAGCUUAACUGUAGAAUUGCCAUUGAUACUGUCAAUCUUGAGUACAUUUGAUGUUGGCGGAAUGUGUCAUGUAGCGGUGAAAUGCUUAGAUAUGACACAGAACACCGAUUGCGAAGGCAGCUGACAAAACUGUAACUGACGCUGAGGCACGAAAGCGUGGGUAUCAAACAGGAUUAGAAACCCCCGUAGUCC
rnacentral:rRNA from 1 species